AGCUCCUCAAGUGGUGGGGAUGAUUAUUUGGCCUAAAGCGCCCGUAGCCUGCUCGGUAAGUCCUCCGUUAAAUCCACCGAUCUAAUCGUUGGGCCGCGGGGGAUACUGCAGAGCUUGGGGGCGGAAGAAGUCGACGGUACUCUUGGGGUAGGGGUGAAAUCCAGUAAUCCCAAGAGGACCACCAGUGGCGAAGGCGGUCGACUAGGACGCGCCCGACGGUGAGGGACGAAAGCUGGGGGAGCGAUUCGGAUUAGAUACCCGAGUAGUCC
rnacentral:rRNA from 1 species